UGACUUCUUUCAAGGCACGUUUCAGCUUCAACCAUCAGUUUGCUGUGCUUUUACAGGAGCCUUUAUGAAUGCAACAAAAAGACCUGGAGUUUCCUGGAUGUUACUUGAAACAGGAUAAUCAUUUACUCAUGUGCAACUCUCGACCACAUGGAAGCCACUCACAAAAUAAGCUGCAGCCUUUUCUAACAAAGGAACUCCUUUCUGUUUUAUUUUUCCAACCCAAGUUCCCAAAACAAAGUCAUUAAAUUUCUCCCUUUGUUCUGG